AAUAAGUGUAGUCAUGAGUUUCCGCAUCCAACUUUGAUUGUCCGUCUUAUUUGAAAUUUUUUUAUGAUUAGUAUUUUUGUUAUUAUGAGAUGAUAAAAUAUGAAUAGUACUUUACUCGUGACUUAUGUUUUUAUUUUUUUCUAAAAGUUUUCAAAUAAGAUGAACGGUCAAAGUUGGACGCGAAAACUAUAGCUGUACUUAUU
rfam:Oryza nivara chromosome 11, whole genome shotgun sequence.